AACGGCUCUACAGUGAUCGCUAUCCUCUGCUUUUGCAGUUACUGCGUUGGAACACUUCACUGUCUUCAAAAUCACCGCUUGCCUGCUGCAGCUUCUCGAUAGCGGCCGCUACCACGUGUCAGCUACAGCUCUACGUCAUGAGCCACGUCACCGCCGUGCUGACUUAAAGACGACGGCAAGCCUUCGACGAGCCCAUUUGCUCAGUGGUGGUGGCAACGGACGGAACGGCUCUACAGUGAUCGCUAUCCUCUGCUUUUGCAGCACUGCUGAUCGAAGGCUGCCCGCUCCUCACUGGUACGUAUGACGCGUGGCCUACCCGUUUCAGAGCCGGAGAGACACUGCUGCGCGUGCGCUCGGCUGCGACGGAGAGCAACGACGUCACUACUGGCGCAGCCAAUCAUUCCACCGGAACACACGAAGCUGACUAAGCAGUGCUUGGCAUGAAGGCCUCGACAUUUCGGACGAGACCUUCGAGACCACAAGCCCAGAGGUUGAUGGCCCUUCUGCUGCGGUGGUGGAGCAGCGCUAGCAGCAGCCUCCAAGGGGGCAGAUGGCGUCUCUGGCGCUUCUCUGCGUGUGAGCCGGACAGCCGACAGAAGCCAUUGUUUAACUGCCCCCUGACGUACCACAAGGGCAAACAAAUUCCUAGGCAGCAUACACCUGCAGCACCUUUGGGACCAAUGACACAAAGGUCAAGGCCAGCCUGGCGACCAUGCUUGCCAAGGAGUAGUUUUAGCCGUCAUGAUCCAGCUCGCGAGGUCGUCCCGUCUCGGUAAAUCCAACCGAAGAAGCCAUUCCAUGUCAAAGGGAACAUUUCGACAACCUCUAGCCGGCAUCUGCAGAAGCACUUUGGAAGGCGGAGCGCUACACGACGGAAAUAACGGGACUUGCAAAUAAAACGUUGGUUGGUAAAUAAUUUGUGCCACUCUAUUAUUUCUUCGCAAUUUCUUUCUUGGAAUUCGGUCAUCACAAUAAAUUUUUGCGUUACCCAUGAUGUCUCAUGAAGAA